CAUGUAGGCGGUCUGCUAAGUUCGGAGUGACAGUCACCAGCUUAACUGGUGAAGUGCUUCGAAAACUGGCGGACUUGAGAGCGAAAGAGGGACAUGGAAUUCCGGGUGGAGCAGUGAAAUGCGUAGAGAUCCGGAGGAACACCAAAGGCGAAGGCAGUGUCCUGGCUCGUUUCUGACGCUGAGAUGCGAAAGCCAGGGGAGCGAACCGGGAUUAGAUACCCCGGUAGUCCUGGCCGUAAACGAUGACCACCAGGCGUGGGAGGGAUCGACCCCUUCCGUGCCGUAGUCAACACAUUAAGUGGUCCGCCUGGGGAGUACGGUCGCAAGACUAAA
rnacentral:rRNA from 1 species